UUUCGAUGAUGAUGAUGAUGAUGAUGAUGAUGAUGAUGAUGAUGAUGACGAUUAUGGGAAACUCUAGCCAACAAACACAUCAUGAUCAGCGUCAACGUCAUCAAGUCGUCAUUGCAA
rnacentral:misc_RNA from 13 species